GGUUCCAUGGUUUAAUGGUUAGCACUCUGGACUUUAAAUCCAGCAAUCUGAGUUCAGCUCUCAGUGGAACCU